AGCUUUGCACAGUGGCAGUAUCGUAGCCAAUGAGGUUUAUCCAAGGCUUGAUUAUUGCUAAUUGAAACUUUUCCCAAUACCCCACCAUGACGACUUGAAAUAUAGUUGGUGUUGGCAAUUUUUGGCAGUGUCUACAGAGA
rnacentral:snRNA from 1 species